GAUGAACGCUGGCGGCGUGCCUAAUACAUGCAAGUCGAGCGAACGGACGAGAAGCUUGCUUCUCUGAUGUUAGCGGCGGACGGGUGAGUAACACGUGGAUAACCUACCUAUAAGACUGGGAUAACUUCGGGAAACCGUAGCUAAUACCGGAUAAUAUUUUGAACCGCAUGGUUCAAAAGUGAAAUACGGUCUUGCUGUCACUUAUAGAUGGAUCCGCGCUGCAUUAGCUAGUUGGUAAGGUAACGGCUUACCAAGGCAACGAUGCAUAGCCGACCUGAGAGGGUGAUCGGCCACACUGGAACUGAGAAACGGUCCAGACUCCUACGGGAGGCAGCAGUAGGGAAUCUUCCGCAAUGGGAGAAAGCCUGACGGAGCAACGCCGCGUGAGUGAUGAAGGUCUUCGGAUCGUAAAACUCUGUUAUUAGGGAAGAACAUAUGUGUAAGUAACUGUGCACAUCUUGACGGUACCUAAUCAGAAAGCCACGGCUAACUACGUG
rnacentral:rRNA from 1 species